rfam:Mucilaginibacter paludis DSM 18603 chromosome, whole genome shotgun sequence.
ACGAAAGUGGAUUGAUUUGAAAAUGCUCUGGUAAUCAGGGCCGGAUUGCAACCACGUAAAAAAGUGCUAAACCCCGCUUC